rnacentral:rRNA from 1 species
AUGCUUGCUGGAAGCAGUGGUGGCCAGCCUCCAUUUGAAGCCUUCCUCUGCCCUGUUAAAUGUGAGCGCCUUCUUAAGGAUGGAUGGGGGUCACAAAUUGCAUACAAGAAACCCAAUAACAUCCCUUGGGAUGAGUACUCCAAGUUAUUCGUGAUGGCUACUACAAACUCAGCAACAGCCAGCCUGAGGAGGAAAAUAAUCUGGCCUCUCCUGCCGGUUCUUUUGUGGAGCAUAAGGCCGACGUCAUUUCUGAAGUAUCUGCUCCCCAUGUCGCUAACGAGUGCUCAGAUUACAAGCCUCUUGAAGAGAAUGAGAAGCCACCACUUGGGACUCGUUGAGGUGCAUGGAACGAGGAGACAUGAUAUACUGGGCAUGUAA